GUUAUGUAACACAAACUGUGGUUUUCUUAAUGUCAGUUAGUACUGUUUUUGCUGGUAUUUUCUUUUUUUGUCUAUAACACAAUAUACCCAGUGAUUUCGUAUCUUUGUGAUCCUGUACUUACUGUUAUUAUGAUUAUUAAUAUUAUUAUUUUAAAUAAUGUCUAUAAUCUUACUAUGUAUUAAGUAUAACCACUUUUAAUUUUACUUUUGUCAUAAUAUACUUUAAACAGUACUUUAGAUAUACAUUUGUGUAAACAUUAUGUAGCCUAUUGUACAUUGUAAUUUUUACGCCAAAAUGUUUGUAACGUAACGUCAUCUUUUAUGACGUCAUAUAUUCAUGACGUUGUUUAUUUCAUAUCAUAUUUGUUUACUUCCUGAAGAAGACUAAUAAAAAUAGUCGAAACGUUGAAUGAAAAUGGAGUUAGCUUUGUAAUUCUCCUGUACUCAACGUAAAGUUUCCAACUAUUCAAAAGUACCACACAAAGUUACAUGAAGAAUAUUGAAAUUUUGUGUUAUUUCCUAUAAGAAGAACGUUGAAUAGGGGCUUUUGGAAAGUACCAGCAAAGACCAAGUGGCUGCUUGUGCAGCAAAAAAUCGUGUAAAAUGAAUGUCAAAAUGCGACAGUGUUACGAGUGUUUGCAAACGACAGUCAAGUUUUGUUUUGAACAAUAAAACAUAUGAAGGAAUUAUGGAAUUCUCAUGGGAUAGUUUACAUCAGAACCUCUCAAUUGGAGCACCUAACAGUUUGCGCAUAGUAUCAUCCAUGGUAACCAGCAACAUCCCAAUGGCAGUAGCAAGCAAGGAAUUUCACCGUGUCCAUUUUUGCAAUAGGUAAGAUUAUAAGACCUGAUACUAGUAUUCUGCUUCAUUUACAAAAUAUUAAAAGGAUGAGAAUCUAAGAUAUUAUUUAUAAUGGCCUUAUGAACAUCAUUUGUGUUAAAAUCAACCAUUCGAACAGUUUGACCUCGAUAUAAAUAGAAUACUAUAUACUUAUACAGUAAACCUCAGCCGUACACUUGAUCGUAACGACAUUUGCCUUUACCCGACACAGCUCUGCGGUCCCGAAGACUUUCAUACUUGUUUAAUACAAAUUCAAACUGUUGGUAACGACACCUGCCUUACCCGAUUACCGACAUACAUGGACAGCACCUUUAAGGCUAAUUGCACUGUUUUCACACUGCUUUCAUACCAUAUACAUGUAAGUAAACUGCAUCAUAAUUACAAAACAAAAGUGCUUUGAAAGGUUAAAAUGGCCUGUUAAUUGAGCUUUUAUAUAAAUUCUGAC